CCUACGGGGGGCAGCAGUGGGGAAUAUUGCGCAAUGGGCGAAAGCCUGAUGCAGCGACGCCGCGUGGAGGAUGAAGGUUUUCGGUAUGUAAACUCCUAUCGUCAGAGAAGAUAAUGACGGUACCUAACGAAUAAGCACCGGCUAACUCCGUGCCAGCAGCCGCGGUAAUACGGAGGGUGCAAGCGUUACUCGGAAUCACUGGGCGUAAAGGGCGCGUAGGCGGGGAAGCAAGUCAGAUGUGAAAUCCUAGGGCUUAACCCUAGGACUGCAUUUGAAACUGUUAUGCUAGAGUGUGGGAGAGGUAAGUGGAAUUCUUGGUGUAGGGGUGAAAUCCGUAGAGAUCAAGAGGAAUACUCAUUGCGAAGGCGACCUGCUAGAACAUGACUGACGCUGAUGCGCGAAAGCGUGGGGAGCAAACAGGAUUAGAUACCCGAGUAGUC
rnacentral:rRNA from 1 species